UAAAACGUAGGAGGCGAGCGUUAUCCGGAUUUACUGGGUGUAAAGCGCGUGCAGGCGGAACGGAAAGUUGGAUGUAAAAGCUCCCGGCUUAACUGGGAGAGGUCGUUCAAAACUACCGAUCUAGAGUACAGUAGAGGGAAGUGGAAUUCCGGGUGUAGUGGUGAAAUGCGUAGAUAUCCGGAGGAACACCAGUGGCGAAAGCGGCUUUCUGGACUGUAACUGACGCUCAGACGCGAAAGCUAGGGUAGCAAACGGG
rnacentral:rRNA from 1 species